rnacentral:rRNA from 1 species
GGUUUGAUCAUGGCUCAGAUUGAACGCUGGCGGGAUGCUUUACACAUGCAAGUCGAACGGCAGCACGGACUUCGGUCUGGUGGCGAGUGGCGAACGGGUGAGUAAUGCAUCGGAACGCCUAGUAGCGGGGGAUAACUACGCGAAAGCGUAGCUAAUACCGCAUACGCCCUUCGGGGGAAAGCGGGGACCUCGGGCCUCGCACUAUUAGAGCGGCCGAUAUCGGAUUAGCUAGUUGGUGGGGUAACGGCUCACCAAGGCGACGAUCCGUAGCUGGUUUGAGAGGACGACCAGCCACACUGGGACUGAGACACGGCCCAGACUCCUACGGGAGGCAGGGGGAAUUUUGGACAAUGGGGAAACCCUGAUCCAGCCAUCCCGCGUGUGCGAUGAAGGCCUUCGGGUUGUAAAGCACUUGGUGAUAAAGAAACGGGCACGGGAUAAUACCCCGUGCAACUGACGGUACCUGCAGAAUAAGCACCGGCUAACUACGUGCCAGCAGCCGCGGUAAUACGUAGGGUGCAAGCGUUAAUCGGAAUUACUGGGCGUAAAGCGUGCGCAGGUUCGGAAAGAUGUGAAAUCCCAGAGCUUAACUUUUGAACUGCAUUUUUAACUACCGAGCUAGAGUGUCAGAGGGAGAAUUCAGUGUAGCAGUGAAAUGCGUAGAUAUGCGGAGGAACACCGAUGGCGAAGGCAGCCUCCUGGGAUAAUACUAUUAUCGCUCAUGCACGAAAGGGGAGCAAACAGGAUUAGAUACCCCUGGUAGUCCACGCCCUAAACGAUGUCAACUAGCUGUUGGGGCCUUCUGGGCCUUGGUAGCGCAGCUAACGCGUGAAGUUGACUGCCUGGGGAGUACGGUCGCAAGAUUAAAACUCAAAGGAAUUGACGGGGACUCGCACAAGCGGUGGAUGAUGUGGGAUUAAUCUGAUGCAACGCGAAAAACCUUACCUACCCUUGACAUGUCUGAACCCCAAAGAGAUUUGGGAGUGCUCGCAAGAGAACCGAACACAGGUGCCGUAUGGCUGUCGUCAGCUCGUGUCGUGAGAUGUUGGGUUAAGUCCUGCAACGAGCACAACCCUUGUCAUUAGUUGCUACGAAAGGGCACUCUAAUGAGACUGCCGGUGACAAACCGGAGGAAGGUGGGGAUGACGUCAAGUCCUCAUGGCCCUUAUGGGUAGGGCUUCACACGUCAUACAAUGGUCGGGACAGAGGGCUCAUCAACCCGCGAGGGGAGCCAAUCCCAGAAACCCGAUCGUAGUCCGGAUCGGUCUGCAACUCGACUGCGUGAAGUCGGAAUCGCUAGUAAUCGCGGAUCAGCAUGUCACCGCGGUGAAUACGUUCCCGGGUCUUGUACACACCGCCCGCCACACCAUGGGAGUGGGUUUUACCAGAAGUAGUUAGCCUAACCGUAAGGAGGGCGAUUACCACGGUAGGAUUCAUGACUGGGGUGAAGUCGUAACAAGGUAACC